rnacentral:misc_RNA from 1 species
GAAAUGCGAUAAGUAAUGUGAAUUGCAGAAUUCAGUGAAUCAUCGAAUCUGUGAACGCACAUUGCGCCCGCCAGUAUUCUGGCGGGCAUGCCUGUCCGAGCGUCAUUUCAACCAUCAAGCCCCCGGGCUUGUGUUGGGGACCUGCGGCUGCCCGCAGGCCCUGAAAACCAGUGGCGGGCUCGCUGUCACACCGAGCGUAGUAGCAAUCACCUCGCUCAGGGCGUGCUGCGGGUUCCGGCCGUUAAACAGCCUUACAAAACCCAAGGUUGACCUCGGAUCAGGUAGGAAGACCCGCUGAACUUAAGC